rnacentral:rRNA from 1 species
GAGUUUGAUCCUGGCUCAGGAUGAACGCUGGCGGCGUGCCUAAUACAUGCAAGUCGAGCGAAUGGAUUAAGAGCUUGCUCUUAUGAAGUUAGCGGCGGACGGGUGAGUAACACGUGGGUAACCUGCCCAUAAGACUGGGAUAACUCCGGGAAACCGGGGCUAAUACCGGAUAACAUUUUGAACUGCAUGGUUCGAAAUUGAAAGGCGGCUUCGGCUGUCACUUAUGGAUGGACCCGCGUCGCAUUAGCUAGUUGGUGAGGUAACGGCUCACCAAGGCAACGAUGCGUAGCCGACCUGAGAGGGUGAUCGGCCACACUGGGACUGAGACACGGCCCAGACUCCUACGGGAGGCAGCAGUAGGGAAUCUUCCGCAAUGGACGAAAGUCUGACGGAGCAACGCCGCGUGAGUGAUGAAGGCUUUCGGGUCGUAAAACUCUGUUGUUAGGGAAGAACAAGUGCCUAGUUGAAUAAGGCUGGCACCUGACCG